UGCAGGGGAGGGAUGAGCGUCCAAGGCUCCCUGGCCCGGGGCAGAGGUAGCCCAGAGGGUCCUGGCCGCCCCUGCGGGCCCCACAGCGGGUCUGAGCGCGGCCUGAGCUUCGGGACCUCGGUGGAGAGGCCCGGGCUGGGGCGGGGACGGGCCGGGGCGGGGCGGCCAGGACAGCUGUCCCCUUGGGGCCAGUGCCCACACAGCAAGCGGAGUCAGACCUGCCGCCCGAGCCCGCCGAGGCCAGCCCGGAGGCCCGGAGGCUGUUUGCAGGAGCCCCAACAAGGCCGGGACACACAGGGACCAAGCCUUUAUGUCAUUCCGAGGUGGACGUCAGCUUUCCCACUAAACGACCAUCGUCAUCAUGACGGUGCUCAGAGGUCAGUUCAGAUCCCCCGGGUCAGGUCAUGGCCCCAGCACCUGAAGGAGGAUUCCAGGCAAGUUCACUAGUCUGAGCCUCAAUCUUCUGAUCAGGUGGCUAAGUCUCACUAAAGUGUAAAUGACUGCUAGCAUCCUCCAGGCUCCAGGACACGUUGCUGGGAAAGAAGCAAAAGACUGGGAGGGGGACAGGGAGGCCAGAGGAGACAACGUCCCCCUAACACCGUGGGCCUCACCCCAGCCCCAACCCUGACUCCGUCAGGCUCCCACACACCCACCCUAGCCCCCCCGCCCUCGCCGGGUCAGACUGAAGGAGGAAGCUGAGAGCCUCAGGCAGAUGCCCCCGCCCCAGGUGCCCGGCGUCUGGGGGUGAUGCAGUGCACAAGGGCCUCCACCAGGGUCUGCUGGGUGAGGCUCUCGUCCCACGGCCGCCGGGCAAGGGCGGGGCUCACCGGCCACGUCCUGGGACCUCACAGGCUGCUCCGGCUGGCCACUCUGCGGGAGGACGGCGUGGGUGCCCACCUCGCGUGACUCCCCAGAACUACCACCAGAGAGUCACUUCCAGCUCCCGACGCAGGCCAGGCGGGCAGGGAGGGGCCCCGGUGCCCCAAGGACCCGAGGCCAGCUGGCCUGGUUGUGCCGAGCGCCAGACACUGUCACCUCCGUGCACCCGCCGGGAGCCCCGAGAGCAUCCCAGCUCCAGCAGCACCUGCAUCCCCGACCCGCCGUUGUCACCCAGGUGCCCGGGAAAGGGCUGCCGUCCAGCCCUCAGCCGAGCGGUGUCAGCACAGAGGACAGGGGCCCCUCCCCAGACGGACAGCCCCCCGCCGGACGCGUGUCCCGGUCCUCACGGAGAGCCGGCCCCCAGCCCAGCGCCCCCCGCGCUGCCCCCGUCCUACUGCCAGGGCCCGCCAGCCCCAGGAGACCAGACGGCCCGAGGGCAUCAGAACCCCCGUCCAGGCCGGGGCCCAGGCCAGCCCAGAGCGCACCCGUGAGCCCGGCCCCCGGGCAGGGCCGUGAGCGGGUCGUGCUGGGCGUCUCCUCAACAGCCGGAGCCUUCUUUGGGCGCCUUCACGAGGACAAGCACAUGGGGGCGCCGGGGGGCUCAGCGGGUAAGCGCCUGCCUUGGGCUCAGGGCGUGACCCCGGGGUCCAAGGAUCGAGUCCCGCGUCGAGCUCCUGCGUGGAGCCUGCUUCUCCCUCGGCCUGAGUCUCUGCCUCUCUCUCUGCGUCUCUCAGAAAUAAAUAAAAUCCUUAAAAAAGGAAAAGCACACAAACAACAACAGGCAACGUGGACCAUGAUAUGAAGGAGGGGAGACGGAGACCCCACCCGCUCAGGCUCAGCGCCCUCAGCUUCCCCCGGGCUCAGAGGUGAUCCCAGAGACGCUCCUGGAAACCCCUCCCGAGGCUGUAGGUGACCUGCCACCCGCCCCCGCGGGGAAGCCGUGGCUGUGGCGUGCUUUUGGGGGGGGCAGCCCCAUGAUGGAGAAGCCUGGCCGCGUCCACCCCAGCCAGGUGCUCAGGGUCAGCAUCCACGUGCCCGCGGCAAGGACUGAGCACGGCGGCCUGAGCAGGGCGGCCCCUCCGUGGCCUUCCCCGGAGACCCACUACGCAGUCUGACCUCGAGAGGGGGGACCGUCUUCCAGACUCCGGCCGGUCGCCGGGGACAGAGAGAGGCCGAGCCACGAUCCCAGCCGCAGGAUCCCGUGGAGAACGUGCCGCGAGAGGCCGUGCGGGGUCCUCGAUGGGAUCCUGGGACAGAACAGGGCCUGCGGGGAGCGGAGGAGACCCCAGGCCGCCGUGGGCUUUCCCAUGAGGAUGUAGCCGCCGUGGUCCAGUUACGGCAGCUAAGGUUCUCUCGCAGCAGGAAGGGAAGUUGUCGCUUUGGAGCCGCCUGCUGAGUCCCCUCCUCACGUGCUCUGGUUAAUGCACGUGGUGUUCUACAAUUAUUUUAAUUAGUUGCCAAUUAAAAAAAUUAAGAGGUUGAGCAUGAGGGCCUGGAUUUCUGGCCUCUCCCAAAA
rnacentral:lncRNA from 1 species